rnacentral:rRNA from 1 species
GUGCCAGCCGCUGCGGUAAUACGGAGGGUGCAAGCGUUAAUCGGAAUUACUGGGCGUAAAGCGCACGCAGGCGGUCUGACAAGUCGGAUGUGAAAUCCCCGGGCUCAACCCGGGAACUGCAUUCGAAACUGUCAGGCUGGAGUCUUGUAGAGGGGUAGAAUUCCAGGUGUAGCGGUGAAAUGCGUAGAGAUCUGGAGGAAUACCGGUGGCGAAGGCGGCCCCCUGGACAAAGACUGACGCUCAGGUGCGAAAGCGUGGGGAGCAAACAGGAUUAGAUACCCUGGUAGUCCACGCUGUAAACGAUGUCGACUUGGAGUUGUGCCCUUGAGGCGUGGCUUCCGGAGCUAACGCGUUAAGUCGACCGCCUGGGGAGUACGGCCGCAAGGUUAAAACUCAAAUGAAUUGACGGGGCCCGCACAAGCGGUGGAGCAUGUGGUUUAAUUCGAUGCAAACGCGAAGAACCUUACCUAGGUCUUGACAUCCACAGAACUUGGCAGAGAUGCCUUGGUGCCUUGGGAACUGUGAGACAGGU